rnacentral:rRNA from 1 species
UACGUAGGGUGCGAGCGUUACUCGGAAUUACUGGGCGUAAAGCGUGCGCAGGCGGUUUUGUAAGCCAGAUGUGAAAUCCCCGGGCUCAACCUGGGAAUGGCAUUUGGGACUGCAAGGCUUGAGUGCGGCAGAGGAGACUGGAAUUCCUGGUGUAGCAGUGAAAUGCGUAGAUAUCAGGAGGAAUACCGAUGGCGAAGGCAGGUCUCUGGGCUGACACUGACGCUCAUGCACGAAAGCGUGGGGAGCAAACAGG